UUGAUCCUGGCUCAGGAUGAACGCUAGCGGGAGGCCUAACACAUGCAAGUCGAACGGGAUUGGUAGCAAUACCAUGAGAGUGGCGCACGGGUGAGUAACGCGUAUGCAACCUACCUAAAUUAGGGAUAGCCCAUAGAAAUGUGGAUUAAUAUCUCAUAGUUCUAUUAGAUCGCAUGAUUUGAUAGAUAAAGCUCCGGCGGUUACAGAUGGGCAUGCGUGACAUUAGCUAGUUGGUAAGGUAACGGCUUACCAAGGCUACGAUGUCUAGGGGUUCUGAGAGGAUGAUCCCCCACACUGGUACUGAGACACGGACCAGACUCCUACGGGAGGCAGCAGUGAGGAAUAUUGGUCAAUGGGCGCAAGCCUGAACCAGCCAUCCCGCGUGCAGGAUGACGGCCCUAUGGGUUGUAAACUGCUUUUAUACACCAAGAAAAAACACCACGUGUGGUGGACUGACGGUAGUGUAUGAAUAAGCAUCGGCUAACUCCGUGCCAGCAGCCGCGGUAAUACGGAGGAUGCAAGCGUUAUCCGGAUUCAUUGGGUUUAAAGGGUGCGUAGGCGGCCUUUUAAGUCAGUGGUGAAAUCUUGCCGCUUAACGGUAAAAUUGCCAUUGAUACUGAAAGGCUUGAGUACAUUUGAGGUAAGCGGAAUGUGUAGUGUAGCGGUGAAAUGCUUAGAUAUUACACAGAACACCAAUUGCGAAGGCAGCUUACUAAACUGAUACUGACGCUGAUGCACGAAAGCGUGGGGAGCGAACAGGAUUAGAUACCCUGGUAGUCCACGCCGUAAACGAUGCUCACUCGCUGUUUGCGAUACACAGCAAGCGGCCAAGCGAAAGCAUUAAGUGAGCCACCUGGGGAGUACGAUCGCAAGGUUGAAACUCAAAGGAAUUGACGGGGGCCCGCACAAGCGGAGGAACAUGUGGUUUAAUUCGAUGAUACGCGAGGAACCUUACCUGGGCUUAAAUGUAGAGCGACAGAUUGUGAAAGGCUGAUUCCCUUCGGGGCUGCUUACAAGGUGCUGCAUGGUUGUCGUCAGCUCGUGCCGUGAGGUGUCGGGUUAAGUCCCAUAACGAGCGCAACCCUUAUCGUUAGUUGCCAGCGGAUCAUGCCGGGGACUCUAGCGAGACUGCCACCGUAAGGUGUGAGGAAGGUGGGGAUGACGUCAAAUCAGCACGGCCCUUAUGUCCAGGGCGACACACGUGCUACAAUGGCCGAUACAAAGGGCAGCUACCAGGUGACUGGAUGCUAAUCUCCAAAGUCGGUCUCAGUUCGGAUCGGAGUCUGCAACUCGACUCCGUGAAGUCGGAUUCGCUAGUAAUCGCGCAUCAGCCAUGGCGCGGUGAAUACGUUCCCGGGCCUUGUACACACCGCCCGUCAAGCCAUGGAAGUUGGGGGUGCCUAAAGUUCGUGACCGCAAGGAGCGACCUAGGGUAAAACCAAUGACUGGGGCUAAGUCGUAACAAGGUAACC
rnacentral:rRNA from 1 species